rnacentral:rRNA from 1 species
UGAGGGGGGCUGCUCCUAGUACGAGAGGACCGGAGUGGACGCAUCACUGGUGUUCGGGUUGUCAUGCCAAUGGCACUGCCCGGUAGCUAAAUGCGGAAGAGAUAAGUGCUGAAAGCAUCUAAGCACGAAACUUGCCCCGAGAUGAGUUCUCCCUGACUCCUUGAGAGUCCUGAAGGAACGUUGAAGACGACGACGUUGAUAGGCCGGGUGUGUAAGCGCAGCGAUGCUUUGAGCUAACCGGUACUAAUGAACCGUGAGGCUUAACCUUACAACGCCGAAGGUGUUU